AUCCAGUUGAAGAGUUCUAAAUAGGACGAAAUUCGCAUCCUGGAU
rnacentral:hammerhead_ribozyme from 1 species